GUUAUGCUGGAAAAAUUAGCCAGAUGCCAAUAAUACUGACACCGUUGCAUUUUGAUCGGGACCCCCUACAGAAACAACCUUCCUGUCAAAGAUCUGUGGUUAUUCGAACUUUUAUUACAAGUGAUUUUAUGACUGGUAUUGCAGCAACUCCUGGUAAUGAGGUUCCAGAAGAGGUUGUGUUAAAAAUGGUGUCAGAGAUUAAGAAGAUUCCUGGCAUUUCUCGGGUGAUGUAUGACUUGACAUCAAAGCCACCAGGAACUACGGAGUGGGAGUAAUUAACUUUUUUCUAUUAAAGUACUGUGUGCAGUCUAAAUCAUAUCAGAAACCAUUCCCAGUGUUGACAUGCAGUACUGUGAAAGAGUGACUGGAGCUGCUACAUCGCAUCAGAUUCCUCUCCUGGAGCGUAAACGUGCAGUUAAGAGCUGUGCUGGGGAUGAUAAUGAAGUGGGGCUGAGGAUUUGUACGGGUAAAUAAUCAUGGCAGCAUUGGCGGUGCGCAGACAGAUUCCUAUUGCUUUUGCCUUUGUCUUACCGAUUCUUCCUGUUUUCACGUGUUUUAUUGUUAACUGUCAUUUCAAUGUCUCUUUGUUUUUGUACACUGUGUAAAAAGAGGCAGUUUAUUUACUUCUACCAAAAGCAUUGUUACAGCCUAAAAAUGUAAAAUGAAUUCUUUGUGACCAACUGCUUUUGAACGGAUUUAUUAUAAAUAAAUAUUUUGCCAAAUG